CCUACGGGAGGCAGCAGUGGGGAAUAUUGCACAAUGGGGGAAACCCUGAUGCAGCAACGCCGCGUGAAGGAAGACGGUUUUCGGAUUGUAAACUUCUAUCAAUAGGGAAGAAAGAAAUGACGGUACCUAAAUAAGAAGCUGCGGCUAACUACGUGCAAGCAGCCGCGGUAAUACGUAGGGGGCAAGCGUUAUCCGGAAUUACUGGGUGUAAAGGGAGAGUAGGCGGCAAGGUAAGCGAUAUGUGAAAGCCUUAAGCUUAACUUAAGGAUGGCAUAACGAACUAGCUAGCUAGAGUACAGGAGAGGAAAGCGGAAUUCCUAGUGUAGCAGUGAAAUGCGUAGAUAUUAGGAGGAACACCAGUGGCGAAGGCGGCUUUCUGGACUGAAACUGACGCUGAGGCUCGAAAGCGUGGGGAGCGAACAGGAUUAGAUACCCCGGUAGUC
rnacentral:rRNA from 1 species